rnacentral:rRNA from 1 species
AGUGAACGCUGGCGGCAGGCCUAACACAUGCAAGUCGAGCGGCAGCGCGGGGCAACCUGGCGGCGAGCGGCGGACGGGUGAGGAAUGCAUCGGAAUCUACCCUGUCGUGGGGAUAACGUAGGGAAACUUACGCUAAUACCGCAUACGACCGAGAGGUGAAAGUGGGGGACCUUCGGGCCUCACGCGAUUGGAUGAGCCGAUGCCGGAUUAGCUAGUUGGUGGGGUAAAGGCCCACCAAGGCGACGAUCCGUAGCUGGUCUGAGAGGAUGAUCAGCCACAUUGGGACUGAGACACGGCCCAAACUCCUACGGGAGGCAGCAGUGGGGAAUAUUGGACAAUGGGCGCAAGCCUGAUCCAGCCAUGCCGCGUGUGUGAAGAAGGCCUUCGGUUGUAAGCACUUUGUUCGGGAAGGAAAUCGUACGGAUUAAUACUUUGUACGGAUGACGGUACCGAAAGAAUAAGCACCGGCUAACUUACGUGCCAGCAGCCGCGGU